rnacentral:rRNA from 1 species
UGCAGUCGAGCGGUAGCACAGAGAGCUUGCUCUCGGGUGACGAGCGGCGGACGGGUGAGUAAUGUCUGGGAAACUGCCUGAUGGAGGGGGAUAACUACUGGAAACGGUAGCUAAUACCGCAUAACGUCGCAAGACCAAAGUGGGGGACCUUCGGGCCUCAUGCCAUCAGAUGUGCCCAGAUGGGAUUAGCUUGUUGGUGAGGUAACGGCUCACCAAGGCGACGAUCCCUAGCUGGUCUGAGAGGAUGACCAGCCACACUGGAACUGAGACACGGUCCAGACUCCUACGGGAGGCAGCAGUGGGGAAUAUUGCACAAUGGGCGCAAGCCUGAUGCAGCCAUGCCGCGUGUAUGAAGAAGGCCUUCGGGUUGUAAAGUACUUUCAGCGAGGAGGAAGGCAUUGUGGUUAAUAACCGCAGUGAUUGACGUUACUCGCAGAAGAAGCACCGGCUAACUCCGUGCCAGCAGCCGCGGUAAUACGGAGGGUGCAAGCGUUAAUCGGAAUUACUGGGCGUAAAGCGCACGCAGGCGGUCUGUCAAGUCGGAUGUGAAAUCCCCGGGCUCAACCUGGGAACUGCAUUCGAAACUGGCAGGCUAGAGUCUUGUAGAGGGGGGUAGAAUUCCAGGUGUAGCGGUGAAAUGCGUAGAGAUCUGGAGGAAUACCGGUGGCGAAGGCGGCCCCCUGGACAAAGACUGACGCUCAGGUGCGAAAGCGUGGGGAGCAAACAGGAUUAGAUACCCUGGUAGUCCACGCUGUAAACGAUGUCGACUUGGAGGUUGUUCCCUUGAGGAGUGGCUUCCGGAGCUAACGCGUUAAGUCGACCGCCUGGGGAGUACGGCCGCAAGGUUAAAACUCAAAUGAAUUGACGGGGGCCCGCACAAGCGGUGGAGCAUGUGGUUUAAUUCAAUGCAACGCAAAGAACCUUACCUACUCUUGACAUCCAAAGAAAUUUACCAAAAAAUGCUUUUGGUGCCUUCCGGGAAA